ensembl:misc_RNA 7SK 7SK RNA
GGAUGUGAGGGCGAUCUGGCUUCGAUAUCUGUCACCCCAUUGAUCCCCAGGGUUGAUUCGGCUGAUCUGGCUGGCUAGACAGGUGUCCCCUUCCUCCCUCACUGCUCCAUGUGUGUCCCUCCUGAAGCUGCGUGCUCGGUCGAAGAGGAUGGCCUUACCCGAAUAGAGAUGGACCGGUCUUCAGUCUAGGGUAUACGAGUGCUGCGCUUCCCUGCUAGAACCUCCAAACAAGCUCUCAACUAUAAGCAUCUGAAGUCCAGAGAGAGAGAGAGACCUGAAAAAGUCUGUUGAAUUUGACCACUUAAACUUUUU